CCAAAUCAACAAACAUCUAGCAGCGAGAAUUCGGCUAAAUGAAUAAACAAAUUGAAAGGAACACGGAAAGUGAAAUUUUUCGUGGACAUAUUGCUUUAGAGUGACUUCGAUGGACGAGUUCAAGAAUGGACAAAAUCAGCCUAAAUACGUCAAAAGUUACGUUAGAAACGAUAUAUGAACACAGUCCACUUGGAACUGUUCUUGUUUUUGGAUGUACUACGUCAGCCUUUCAUCCACAUGUAAACGACGUCCUGGGUGCCCUGAAACGAUAUUUUUGGAAAACGUCUUCCAGAGUGGGUAUAUCUGAAAACGGCGGCUUGUCGUUGCCAUGUAGACAAGCAAACCGCUGCUUUCUGAAAACGAUGACGUCACAAUUCCGUCUGCGGGUCUUUUCACAGCGCCACGGGAAAAUCCCAGGAACAUUUCCAUGUGGAAAGGGCCUAAAUUGACAGCGCGUUGCAGUUGCAGAACUUAAAUCGCAGGCCAAGUUUAUAUUGUGUCUAUGGCAUAUCGUUGAUAUCGCACAUUUCUAGGCUCCACGAAUCUGCCUAGCAACAAGUUGUGCUGUGCAAACAUGUGAUGGGAACAGUAAGAUGAUUUGUUGUCUGUGUGGUUUAAUGCAUUGUAUAAAAUGCAUUAAA